GACGCUGUGUAGUCAACUGACGCACUCGUGUGAGAGAUAAGCAGCAAAAAACACUGACUUCAUGUGAUACUUCACCUCAGUGUUGCUGUUGCUAACGGAUGACCCCAAAAUGAAAUGCCAACGAAGGCGACUGUGCCGGCAAAAGGUGACGUGCCUGGCAAACGGCAGUCAACAGAAACGUCAACCAAACCGAGCUUCCCCAGAUAGAAGCACUUGGCUGGGAGGGAUGGAAAUCAGUCAUUUUCAUGAACGUGCGGACAGGACAUCAGUGGACACACCAUUUGACUCCUUGGUCAAAUUAAAGUACUCAACGCCGAAGGUGUCGCCAACGAGAACCAAACGGACGUAUUUAGAGAUGUGACUUUAUGCGUCCUUUCCUAGAAAAUGACGACUUAAAGGGGAAAUAGGAACGUA